CAUGCCGUAAACGAUGAAUACUAGGUGUUGGAGGGUUUCCGCCCUUCAGUGCCGCAGCUAACGCAUUAAGUAUUCCGCCUGGGGAGUACGACCGCAAGGUUGAAACUCAAAGGAAUUGACGGGGGCCCGCACAAGCGGUGGAGCAUGUGGUUUAAUUCGAAGCAACGCGAAGAACCUUACCAGGUCUUGACAUCUUCUGCCAACCUAAGAGAUUAGGCGUUCCCUUCGGGGACAGAAUGACAGGUGG
rnacentral:rRNA from 1 species